AUAUUCCCGUACUUCUGACUAUUGCGAUGGGGGGACGGAGAAGGCUAGGUGGGCCAGGCGACGGUUGUCCUGGUUCAAGUGCGUAGGCUUGAGAGUUAGGUAAAUCCGGCUCUCUCUAAGGCUGAGACACGACGUCGAGCUGCUACGGCAGUGAAGUCAUUGAUGCCAUGCUUCCAGGAAAAGCCUCUAAGCUUCAGAUAGUCAGGAAUCGUACCCCAAACCGACACAGGUGGUCGGGUAGAGAAUACCAAGGCGCUUGAGAGAACUCGGGUGAAGGAACUAGGCAAAAUGGUACCGUAACUUCGGGAGAAGGUACGCUCUUGAUGGUGAAGUCCCUCGCGGAUGGAGCUGACGAGAGUCGCAGAUACCAGGUGGCUGCAACUGUUUAUUAAAAACACAGCACUGUGCAAAAUCGCAAGAUGACGUAUACGGUGUGACGCCUGCCCGGUGCCGGAAGGUUAAUUGAUGGGGUUAGCGCAAGCGAAGCUCUUGAUCGAAGCCCCGGUAAACGGCGGCCGUAACUAUAACGGUCCUAAGGUAGCGAAAUUCCUUGUCGGGUAAGUUCCGACCUGCACGAAUGGCGUAAUGAUGGCCACGCUGUCUCCACCCGAGACUCAGUGAAAUUGAAAUCGCUGUGAAGAUGCAGUGUACCCGCGGCUAGACGGAAAGACCCCGUGAACCUUUACUACAGCUUGGCACUGAACAUUGAACCUACAUGUGUAGGAUAGGUGGGAGGCUUUGAAGACGUGACGCCAGUUGCGUUGGAGCCGUCCUUGAAAUACCACCCUUGUAUGUUUGAUGUUCUAACUUAGACCCAUUAUCUGGGUUGAGGACAGUGCCUGGUGGGUAGUUUGACUGGGGCGGUCUCCUCCCAAAGAGUAACGGAGGAGCACGAAGGUGGGCUAAUCACGGUUGGACAUCGUGAGGUUAGUGCAAUGGCAUAAGCCCGCUUAACUGCGAGAAUGACGGUUCGAGCAGGUGCGAAAGCAGGUCAUAGUGAUCCGGUGGUUCUGUAUGGAAGGGCCAUCGCUCAACGGAUAAAAGGUACUCCGGGGAUAACAGGCUGAUACCGCCCAAGAGUUCAUAUCGACGGCGGUGUUUGGCACCUCGAUGUCGGCUCAUCACAUCCUGGGGCUGAAGUCGGUCCCAAGGGUAUGGCUGUUCGCCAUUUAAAGUGGUACGCGAGCUGGGUUUAGAACGUCGUGAGACAGUUCGGUCCCUAUCUGCCGUGGGCGUUGGAAGAUUGAAGGGGGCUGCUCCUAGUACGAGAGGACCGGAGUGGACGAACCUCUGGUGUUCGGGUUGUGUCGCCAGACGCAUUGCCCGGUAGCUAAGUUCGGAAUUGAUAAGCGCUGAAAGCAUCUAAGCGCGAAGCGAGCCCUGAGAUGAGUCUUCCCUGAUACUUUAAGUAUCCUAAAGGGUUGUUCGAGACUAGAACGUUGAUAGGCAGGGUGUGUAAGCGUUGUGAGGCGUUGAGCUAACCUGUACUAAUUGCCCGUGAGGCUUAACCA
rnacentral:rRNA from 1 species